rnacentral:rRNA from 1 species
AGUAACGCGUGAGUAACCUGCCUUCAAGAGGGGGAUAACAUUCUGAAAAGAAUGCUAAUACCGCAUGACAUAUCGGAACCACAUGGUUUUGAUAUCAAAGAUUUUAUCGCUUGAAGAUGGGCUCGCGUCUGAUUAGAUAGUUGGUGGGGUAACGGCCUACCAAGUCGACGAUCAGUAGCCGGACUGAGAGGUUGAACGGCCACAUUGGGACUGAGACACGGCCCAGACUCCUACGGGAGGCAGCAUG